AAUCAACGCUGGCGGCGUGCCUAACACAUGCAAGUCGAACGCGAAAGUGGAGCAAUCCAUGAGUAGAGUGGCAAACGGGUGAGUAACGCGUGGGCGACCUACCUCUGAGUGGGGGAUAACCUUCCGAAAGGAGGGCUAAUACCGCAUGACAUCCCGUGUUUGGAUACACGGACAUCAAAGCCGGGGAUCGCAAGACCUGGCGCUUGGAGAGGGGCCCGCGUCCGAUUAGCUAGUUGGUGAGGUAACGGCUCACCAAGGCUCCGAUCGGUAUCCGGCCUGAGAGGGCGGACGGACACACUGGAACUGAGACACGGUCCAGACUCCUACGGGAGGCAGCAGUGGGGAAUUGUUCGCAAUGGGCGCAAGCCUGACGACGCAACGCCGCGUGGAGGAUGAAGACUUUCGGGUCGUAAACUCCUUUCGACCGAGAUGAAUUUCCGCCGACCUAACACGUCGGCGGGGUAACAGUAUCGAGGGAAGAAGCCCCGGCUAACUCCGUGCCAGCAGCCGCGGUAAUACGGGGGGGGCAAGCGUUGUUCGGAAUUACUGGGCGUAAAGGGUUCGUAGGCCUUGCUAAGUCAGACGUGAAAUCCCUCAGCUUAACUGGGGAACUGCGUCUGAGACUGGCGAGCUUGAGUGCAGGAGAGGAACGCGGAAUUCCAGGUGUAGCGGUGAAAUGCGUAGAUAUCUGGAGGAACACCGGUGGCGAAGGCGGCGUUCUGGACUGUAACUGACACUGAU
rnacentral:rRNA from 1 species